rnacentral:rRNA from 1 species
UACGUAGGGUGCAAGCGUUGUCCGGAAUUAUUGGGCGUAAAGAGCUCGUAGGCGGCUUGUCACGUCGACUGUGAAAACCCGGGGCUCAACUCCGGGCCUGCAGUCGAUACGGGCUGGCUUGAGUGCGGUAGGGGAGACUGGAAUUCCUGGUGUAGCGGUGAAAUGCGCAGAUAUCAGGAGGAACACCGGUGGCGAAGGCGGGUCUCUGGGCAUUAACUGACGCUGAGGAGCGAAAGCAUGGGGAGCGAACAGG